CAGUGAAGUAUUGAUCAUCGAUCUAGAGUGAUUAAUAUUGAAUGUCAUGUUACCUGUUCUUUUUAUGCUAAAUCACUCGCUCCAAAAGUGGUAUCGAUUUCCUCAUUUAUAUUUUAUAUGAUAUUCAUUUUCAAUAUUUCAGAUCGUAUAGUGGAUCAGGAUUAUCUGUACGUGUUAAUUAUGAUUUUAAUAUAGACGCGCAAAUGAAAUGAUCAAAGGAGAGGGGAUGACAAUAACAUAAAUGUUGUUGUAGUAUUUGGCAACAAUCAACGUUAUCUUUAUGGAUUCCAUCGGACUGAAACAAACAGCUGGUAUAACAUAGUAGUUUCUCUUCAUCCACCGAAUGGACGCAGCGAACUAGUUGUCUCGGGGCAAAGACAUUGGGCAGCUAUUGUAGAUGGCAUCCCUAUGACCGAUGGAUAUCGAUGGUAUUACAACAUGGUUUCUGUACAUCCAAGAAAUUAGGUCAAUAAACCAGUCGUUUCGGGAAACAAGCUAGUGAUACCAGCAGUAUGCAAUACAUUGCACAAGACUCAACGGAAGAUGAAAUGUAAUGGUGUGGAAAUCAUUAUGGCGAUUCACUACUGUGAUUUGUAUGACAGAUUGAUAAAAAUGAAGUGAAGAGAACGCUUUAGAAUAUCGUUCAUACUGAUGUUAUGUUAUUGAAAAUAUAGAUUUCUUAUCACACACAAGUAUUCUCAACUUUCAUUUAUCCAUUCAAUGAAUGCUUAUAUUCUAAGGUCAUUCCUGUACCUAUUUUUCACUUUUCAAGCAAAUCAAUAAAAAGUAAAAAAAAUGCUUGUCUGUUUUUUUCAAAAAGAAUAUAAUUACAUAUGAAUAUAUAUAAAUAUACAUUAAGCUAAUUCCGGUCUUUCCAAGUCAAGUAUAAUGCCUGUAGACCACAGCUGCUCCUCGUAUGACUAUAUUUUCGAGCCAAAUAGUCACAGACAAAGGUUCACAGCUUUUAUUUAUUAUUUGAUGGCAGAUCACAUUAUAUGACUUUCAUACUGUCACUGUUUUAUAUCUUUUCUAUCUAUAAGGCAUAUGUGAAUCUCUUUGGUUGCUUUGAUGAUAUAUUAACAUAGGCUUUAAACGUUUGCUUAAUUUUAAAUUUGAUAUUGUGUUUUAAUAUUAACAACUGCUCAUAGGAGAGUUACGAAAUUUACUUCAAUGUAUAAAUUAACAAAAAUCGUUUAAAAUUUGUGUGAGUGUUCAAAUGUAUUUAGACAUUGUCAUAUUUAAUGGCCCGCGAUAGGAAAACAAUGCAAACGUUGUAAGGUCUUAUUGUGUGAUACUUAAGUUCUAAAACCGUUAAGAUGAUUUGAUAGUGUUGCCUUUUAAUCGAGCACACUAUACACAGCACAUAAUUAAUACAUUUUGAAUAUUUGUAAAAGACAUGCACUUAAAAUAUUAUAAAAAGUUUUAUUAUCUGUGUGUGUUUAGACACAAAAAUGACUGCAAUCGAGGAAUAUGUCUGAAUCAGGAGAAAAUCAACCUGAAAUUGGAACAAGGGGAAUAACUACUUCUAAAGAAAGAUAUCAUAUAUUUAUCGAAUGAUUCCCUGUUUAGAUUCAAUUUGCAACUAGGCAUCUCAUGUGAAUGUAAAAAUGCUUCGCAUUCAUGGGCAGCAGGUGUGUGGGUGGCCAAUAACGGAUCACUAGCGUUUAUGAACGAACGAUUUUUAGAUUCAUAUAUAAAUGUAUGUUGAUAAGAAGUAUUUUUCCCCUUUAACUGUAUACUUCUUCUGAAUUUAUUUUUGAAUGCAUCGUGGUGUAUUUACCGUUUCCAAACUUCUUGUAAACAUGCCAAUAGCGGAUCAAAUCGGCCAUUAUCGGGUCACGUGAUAUACGAACGGGGGUCAAAACAUUAAUUAUCUCUAAAAUUCUUCCUAACCCAGGAAAAUAUUACACAACUAUGCGUUACCGCUGAUUAUUAAAGUGAAAAGGGUAUCAAUAAGUAA